GGGUUUUUUCUCAUCUCAGCAAGAGGAGUGGAGGCAUCUACUACUCAAACCGAGAAAUCCACGGACAAAAGAGAGGAAAACUCAGGAUUGAGAGGAAGGAAAACCAGCCUACUUACCUGCUGGAAGUCCGGAGUCGAGUGGCUGGAUGAAGGAGAGAGGCAACGUCGGCUAACCACUCACCUUUCAUCCGGAGAGCUGCUGCAAUUCCAACGCCAGUGUGUGUUGGGCUUUUGUGAAACAGAGCAACGGUCAGGUUUUUUGGAGAGGACGGAAAAGUCCAAGGACCAGGACGAUAUUCUGGUUGUGAUAGAUGGCGAGCCAACCACUUUGAGGACGAUCUACCCCAAAGAAGAUACACACCACACACUCAUACAUUCCAGUUACAUUCACAAGGACCUUUGAAGUUGGCUAUCGCCAGCUUAACUCUAAAUUCUUAAAGGGCCCCAACGAGUACUUUUAUUUUGUUGAGUGUGCACACUAUUUAUUUUAUUUUAUACUUUAUCUGUACAAAUUGGACAAAUACCUGUUAUACUUUGUAACAAUACAAGAGUGGCUACUCAAAAGUUAA